GCCAUUUCAGCUAUUAUAGUUACAAUUAAACCCUGGGCAAUAGGUGCUGCAUUCCUUCUGGUGCUUCUCCUUCUUGUUCUAGCUAUUGGUGUUAUUCACUAUUGGGCGUCAAAUAACUUCUAUUUGACAAGGAUACAAAUGUUACUUGUUUGUUUUCUUGCAUUCCUUUUAGCUCUUGCAGCAUUUCUUGUUGGAUGGUUU
rnacentral:misc_RNA from 1 species